GCAUCGAUGAAGAACGCAGCGAAAUGCGAUAAGACAUGCGAAACGCAGGAUUCAGUGAGUCAUCAUAAACUUGAACGCACUUGGCGGCCUCGAGUCUCCGGGCUCUGGGCCAUAUCUGUUUGAGUGUCACUAAACCCCCCUCACAAAACUCCAAUUCUUCACAAGAGAAUCGGGUUCAAAUUGUGGUCGCUGGCCGCUGCGCUUACUCUUAGUAAGUACACCGGCUUAAGUGCAGAGGUGAGAGGCUGCUGCAUUCGCUCCUCGAACACUGACUGGGUAAGCUCCCUAUUCGGGAACAAACAUACUAAGUCAAUGUCUUUUCGUGGAUCAAAGCGAUGUGGUGCGCUUGCCCCGCAACCGUUUUCAGGCUGCCUAACGGCGCUUGAAAAAACUCCAAACCCUUUGACCUCAAAUCAGGUAAGAGUACCCGCCGAAUUUAAGCAUAUCAAUAAGCGGAGGA
rnacentral:rRNA from 1 species